UUUUUUGGGCGGAGAUAAAACGGUGGCUCGAUGACGCACUGGAGCCACUGAGCUCCUGGCCCCUCCCCAAACAACAUAACUAGAGCACACAUUCGCAUCAGUUCGCUGCUCAAUCGUGAGUUUCUGUGGACUACCAUCUUUUAAAUACCUUGACCGGAGCAUAACUGGUUAACUUCACACAAGAGACCUACUGUUGGACAAUCGUUUUGGCUUUAAAGAUGCUGUUUGCCAUUGUUCAGUUUAUUGAUGAGGAGGAUCAGCCAUUUGCAGUGGUUCCGCAAGUGUG